GUCCUAUAUAGCGAAUUAUGUGUUUUUGACCUUAUUUAAAGGAUUUUCAGUGUGUUUUAAAGCUUUUUAAGGUUGACCUUGACCUUUGACCUUACAACUUUUUAGUCGAUAUCUCAAAAACGAUUGUACUUACAGAAAUAGUAAAUAGUGAAAAACGUUGAGGUGGAUGAGGCGCAACUUUUUUACAUUGACCGAAGAGAUUUGACCUUUCUGUAAGGGGC
rnacentral:lncRNA from 1 species